UACAGAGGGUGCAAGCGUUGUUCGGAAUUAUUGGGCGUAAAGCGCGUGUAGGCGGCUUUGCAAGUCGGGUGUGAAAGCCCUCGGCUCAACCGAGGAAGUGCGCCCGAAACUGCAGAGCUUGAGUACCGGAGAGGAUGGCGGAAUUCCCCAAGUAGAGGUGAAAUUCGUAGAUAUCGCUUGGAACGCCAAUGGUGAAAACAGGUAGCUGGGGGUGUGCUGACACUGAGACACGAAAGCCAGGGGAGCAAACGGG
rnacentral:rRNA from 1 species